ACGCUCGACACCUACGGGAGGCAGCAGUUGGGAAUAUUGGACAAUGGAGGAAACUCUGAUCCAGUGACGCCGCGUGAAGGAAGAAGGUCUUCGGAUUGUAAACUUAUUUUGUCAGGGAAGAAAAAUGACUGUACCUGAAGAAAAAGCACCGGCUAACUACGUGCCAGCAGCUGCGGUAAUCUGAGCGGGCUGGCAAGGC
rnacentral:rRNA from 1 species